ensembl:lncRNA novel transcript
CGAGGCCCGGAGGCGGUGCAGGAAGCCUCCGACCACGCGGGCUCCUGAUCGCGGGCGCCCACAGCGCGGACAUGGCGGGCUGGUGGCCGGCGUUGUCGCGCACGGCCCGGCGCCACCCGUGGCCCACCAACGUGCUGCUCUACGUUGCUCGAGCAACGUAGCUCUACGCUCUACGAGCGUGCCGUAGCUCGCUCGUCUCCGCCGGGGACGUGCUGCAGCAACGGCUGCAGGGCCGCUAGGCCGACUGGCGCCAGACGCGGCGCGUGGCCACGUUGGUGGUGACCUUCCACGCCAACUUCAACUACGUGUGGCUGGGCCUGCUGGAGCGCGCGCUCCCGGGCCGAGCGCCGCGCGCCAUGCUGGCCAAGUUGCUGUGCGACCAGGUGGUCGGUGCGCCCAUCGCGGUCUCGGCCUUCUACGCCGGUAUGAGCAUUCUCCAGGGAAAGGAUGACAUAUUUUUGGACCUGAAACAGAAAUUCUGGAACACCUAUAUGCAAACUCAGUCGUGGCUUUGGAGAUCACUUUAAGCUUGUCUCCAGCUGGCACACUAAGGAGGGUAAUGGAGAAGCUCCCCCACCCCCAACCCCACCCCUUCCUUCCGGAAGCAAAUCUAAGUCCAGCCCCGGCUCCAGAUCCCUCCCACAGUGGACCUAGGAAACCCUCAGCUCAGAGAACAACCCUGCAUUCCCCACACAACACCCACAAUCAGCCACUGCGGGCGAGGAGGGCACGAGGCCAGGUUCCCAAGAGCUCAGGAACAUGGAGCUGAUCCAGGACACCUCCCGCCCGCCACUGGAGUACGUGAAGGGGGUCCCGCUCAUCAAGUACUUUGCAGAGGCACUGGGGCCCCUGCAGAGCUUCCAGGCCCGGCCUGAUGACCUGCUCAUCAGCACCUACCCCAAGUCCGGCACUACCUGGGUAAGCCAGAUUCUGGACAUGAUCUACCAGGGUGGUGACCUGGAGAAGUGUCACCGAGCUCCCAUCUUCAUGCGGGUGCCCUUCCUUGAGUUCAAAGCCCCAGGGAUUCCCUCAGGGAUGGAGACUCUGAAAGACACACCGGCCCCACGACUCCUGAAGACACACCUGCCCCUGGCUCUGCUCCCCCAGACUCUGUUGGAUCAGAAGGUCAAGGUGGUCUAUGUUGCCCGCAACGCAAAGGAUGUGGCAGUUUCCUACUACCACUUCUACCACAUGGCCAAGGUGCACCCUGAGCCUGGGACCUGGGACAGCUUCCUGGAGAAGUUCAUGGUCGGAGAAGUGUCCUACGGAUCCUGGUACCAGCACGUGCAGGAGUGGUGGGAGCUGAGCCGCACCCACCCUGUUCUCUACCUCUUCUAUGAAGACAUGAAGGAGAACCCGAAAAGGGAGAUUCAAAAGAUCCUGGAGUUUGUGGGGCGCUCCCUGCCAGAGGAGACCGUGGACUUCGUGGUUCAGCACACGUCGUUCAAGGAGAUGAAGAAGAACCCUAUGACCAACUACACCACCGUCCCCCAGGAGUUCAUGGACCACAGCAUCUCCCCCUUCAUGAGGAAAGGCAUGGCUGGGGACUGGAAGACCACCUUCACCGUGGCGCAGAAUGAGCGCUUCGAUGCGGACUAUGCGGAGAAGAUGGCAGGCUGCAGCCUCAGCUUCCGCUCUGAGCUGUGAGAGGGGCUCCUGGAGUCACUGCAGAGGGAGUGUGCGAAUCAAACCUGACCAAGCGGCUCAAGAAUAAAAUAUGAAUUGAGGGCCCGGGACGGUAGGUCAUGUCUGUAAUCCCAGCAAUUUGGAGGCUGAGGUGGGAGGAUCAUUUGAGCCCAGGAGUUCGAGACCAACCUGGGCAACAUAGUGAGAUUCUGUUAAAAAAAUAAAAUAAAAUAAAACCAAUUUUUAAAAA